UACGUAGGGUGCAAGCGUUGUCCGGAAUUAUUGGGCGUAAAGAGCUCGUAGGCGGUUUGUCGCGUCGAAUGUGAAAUCCCGGGGCUCAACCCCGGGCCUGCAUUCGAUACGGGCAGACUAGAGUUCGGUAGGGGGAGUCUGGAAUUCCUGGUGUAGCGGUGAAAUGCGCAGAUAUCAGGAGGAACACCGGUGGCGAAGGCGGGACUCUGGGCCGAUACUGACGCUGAGGAGCGAAAGCGUGGGGAGCAAACAGG
rnacentral:rRNA from 1 species